GACGAACGCUGGCGGCGCGCUUAACACAUGCAAGUCGAACGGAAAGGCCUGCUUUCCCUUGUGGAUUGCGGGUACUCGAGUGGCGAACGGGUGAGUAACACGUGAGUGAUCUGCCCCCAACUUGGGUAUAAGCCUGGGAAACUGGGUCUAAUUCCCGAUAGGACUGCAGGGUGGUGCCUGUGGUGGAAAACGAUUUUCUAGUGGUUGGGGAUGAGCUCGCGGCCUAUCAGCUUGUUGGUGGGGUAAUGGCCUACCAAGGCGGCGACGGGUAGCCGGCCUGAGAGGGUGGACGGCCACAUUGGGACUGAGAUACGGCCCAGACUCCUACGGGAGGCAGCAGUGGGGAAUAUUGCACAAUGGGCGGAAGCCUGAUGCAGCGACGCCGCGUGGGGGAUGACGGCCUUCGGGUUGUAAACUCCUUUCGACCGCGAGGAAGCCACAUGGUUGGAAGGGUGGUGACGGUAGUGGUAGAAGAAGCACCGGCUAACUACGUG
rnacentral:rRNA from 1 species